GACGAACGCUGGCGGCGUGCUUAACACAUGCAAGUCGAACGGAAAGGCCCCUUUGGGGGUCCUCGAGUGGCGAACGGGUGAGUAACACGUGAGUAACCUGCCCUUGACUUCGGGAUAACUUCAGGAAACUGGGGCUAAUACCGGAUAGGAAUCCUUGCUGCAUGGUGGGGGUUGGAAAGCUUCGGCGGUUUUGGAUGGACUCGCGGCUUAUCAGCUUGUUGGUGGGGUAGUGGCUUACCAAGGCUUUGACGGGUAGCCGGCCUGAGAGGGCGACCGGCCACAUUGGGACUGAGAUACGGCCCAGACUCCUACGGGAGGCAGCAGUGGGGAAUAUUGCACAAUGGGCGGAAGCCUGAUGCAGCAACGCCGCGUGCGGGAUGACGGCCUUUGGGUUGUAAACCGCUUUCAGCAGGGGCGAAGCUUGUGGUGACGGUACCUGCAGAAGAAGCACCGGCUAACUACGUG
rnacentral:rRNA from 1 species